rnacentral:rRNA from 1 species
AUUGAACGCUGGCGGCAGGCCUAACACAUGCAAGUCGAACGAGUGGCGGACGGAUGAGUAAUGUCUGGGACUCUGCCUGAUGGAGGGCGAUAACUCACGGAAACGGUUGCUAAUACCGCAUACCAUCAGAUGUGCCCAGAUGGGAUUAGCUUGUUGGUGGGGUAACGGCUCACCAAGGCGACGAUCCCUAGCUGGUCUGAGAGGAUGACCAGUCACACUGGAACUGAGACACGGUCCAGACUCAUACGGGAGGCAGCAGGGGGGAAUAUUGCACAAUGGGCGCAAGCCUGAUGCAGCCAUGCCGCGUGUAUGAAGAAGGCCUUCGGGUUGUAAAGUACUUUCAGCGGGGAGGCGUUACCCGCAGAAGAAGCACCGGCUAACUCCGUGCCAGCAGCCGCGGUAAUAC